rnacentral:rRNA from 1 species
AGAGUUUGAUCCUGGCUCAGAUUGAACGCUGGCGGCAUGCCUUACACAUGCAAGUCGAACGGUAACAGGUCUUCGGAUGCUGACGAGUGGCGAACGGGUGAGUAAUACAUCGGAACGUGCCCAGUAAUGGGGGAUAGCUCGGCGAAAGCCGGAUUAAUACCGCAUACGCCCUGAGGGGGAAAGUGGGGGACCGCAAGGCCUCACGUUAUUGGAGCGGCCGAUGGCUGAUUAGCUAGUUGGUAGGGUAAAGGCCUACCAAGGCGACGAUCAGUAGCUGGUCUGAGAGGACGAUCAGCCACACUGGGACUGAGACACGGCCCAGACUCCUACGGGAGGCAGCAGUGGGGAAUUUUGGACAAUGGGGGAAACCCUGAUCCAGCAAUGCCGCGUGUGCGAAGAAGGCCUUCGGGUUGUAAAGCACUUUUGUCAGGGAAGAAAUCCUUUGGGCUAAUACCCUAGGGGGAUGACGGUACCUGAAGAAUAAGCACCGGCUAACUACGUGCCAGCAGCCGCGGUAAUACGUAGGGUGCGAGCGUUAAUCGGAAUUACUGGGCGUAAAGCGUGCGCAGGCGGUUUUGUAAGUCAGAUGUGAAAUCCCCGAGCUCAACUUGGGAACUGCGUUUGAAACUACAAGACUAGAAUAUGUCAGAGGGGGGUAGAAUUCCACGUGUAGCAGUGAAAUGCGUAGAGAUGUGGAGGAAUACCAAUGGCGAAGGCAGCCCCCUGGGAUAAUAUUGACGCUCAUGCACGAAAGCGUGGGGAGCAAACAGGAUUAGAUACCCCGGUAGUCC